AACGGAUCUCUUGGUUCUGGCAUCGAUGAAGAACGCAGCGAAAUGCGAUAAGUAAUGUGAAUUGCAGAAUUCAGUGAAUCAUCGAAUCUUUGAACGCACAUUGCGCCCCCUGGUAUUCCGGGGGGCAUGCCUGUUCGAGCGUCAUUUCACCACUCAAGC
rnacentral:rRNA from 1 species